rnacentral:rRNA from 1 species
AGUGAACGCUGGCGGUAGGCCUAACACAUGCAAGUCGAACGGCAGCACAGUAAGAGCUUGCUCUUACGGGUGGCGAGUGGCGGACGGGUGAGGAAUACAUCGGAAUCUACUUUUUCGUGGGGGAUAACGUAGGGAAACUUACGCUAAUACCGCAUACGACCUACGGGUGAAAGCAGGGGAUCUUCGGACCUUGCGCGAUUGAAUGAGCCGAUGUCGGAUUAGCUAGUUGGCGGGGUAAAGGCCCACCAAGGCGACGAUCCGUAGCUGGUCUGAGAGGAUGAUCGGCAAAACGGGAACUGGGAAACGGUCAAGACUCCUACGGGAGGAAGAAGGGGGAAAUAUGGAACAAGGGGCGAAAGCUUGAUCAAGCCAAACGGGGUGGGUGAAGAAGGCCUUCGGGUGGUAAAGCCUUUUGGUGGGGAAAGAAAAGAAGCAGGUAAAAACCCGGCGGUCUGGAGGGAACCAAAAGAAGAAGCACGGGCAAAUUUCGG